rnacentral:rRNA from 1 species
UAGUCAUAUGCUUGUCUCAAAGAUUAAGCCAUGCACGUCUAAGUACAAUCCUGAUAUUAUAAGAGAAACUGCAGAUGGCUCAUUAGAUCAGUUAUGGUUUAUCGGAGUUCGUAAAAGUGCCAUGGAUAACUGUGGUAAUUCUAGAGCUAAUACAUGCAAUUAAGCGCCGACCCUUCGGGGAAGGCGUGCUUUUAUUAGGAACAAGGCCAGCCCGGAGGGUCUCCUUUCGGUCUCAUCCGCUGGUGAACUCUAGAUAACAAUGCCGAUCGCACGGUCUCGCACCGGCGACGCUCCCUUCAAAAGUCUGCUCUAUCAACUGUCGAUGGUAUGUUAUGCGCUUAUCAUGGUAAUGACGGGUAACGGAGAAUCAGGGUUCGAUUCCGGAGAGGGAGCCUGAGAAACGGCUACCACAUCCAAGGAAGGCAGCAGGCACGCAAAUUACCCACUCCUGACACGGGGAGGUAGUGACAAAAAAUAACGAUACAGGCCUCUUCGGAGGCCCUGUGAUCGGAAUGAGUACACUUUAAAUCCUUUAACGAGGAUCUACUGGAGG